UACAGAGGUGGCAAGCGUUGUUCGGAAUUACUGGGCGUAAAGGGCGCGUAGGCGGUCUUGCAAGUCCUGUGUGAAAUCCCUCGGCUCAACUGAGGAACUGCACAGGAAACUGCUUGGCUUGAGUUCGGGAGAGGGAAGCGGAAUUCCGGGUGUAGCGGUGAAAUGCGCAGAUAUCAGGAGGAACACCGGUGGCGAAGGCGGGUCUCUGGGCAGUAACUGACGCUGAGGAACGAAAGCGUGGGUAGCAAACAGG
rnacentral:rRNA from 1 species